rnacentral:rRNA from 1 species
UACGGAGGGGGCAAGCGUUAUUCGGAAUUAUUGGGCGUAAAGGGCGCGUAGGCGGCUAGAUUUGUCAAAGGUGAAAUCCCUCGGCUCAACUGAGGAACUGCCUUUGAAACUGUCUGGCUUGAGGCCGGGAGAGGGUAGCGGAAUUCCCAGUGUAGCGGUGAAAUGCGUAGAUAUUGGGAGGAACACCAGUGGCGAAGGCGGCUACCUGGACCGGUUCUGACGCUGAGGCGCGAAAGCGUGGGUAGCAAACAGG